rnacentral:rRNA from 1 species
GAUGAACGCUGGCGGCGUGCCUAAUACAUGCAAGUCGAGCGAACGGACGAGAAGCUUGCUUCUCUGAUGUUAGCGGCGGACGGGUGAGUAACACGUGGAUAACCUACCUAUAAGACUGGGAUAACUUCGGGAAACCGGAGCUAAUACCGGAUGAUAUUUUGAACCGCAUGGUUCAAAAGUGAAAGACGGUCUUGCUGUCACUUAUAGAUGGAUCCGCGCUGCAUUAGCUAGUUGGUAAGGUAACGGCUUAUCAAGGCAACGAUGCAUAGCCGACCUGAGAGGGUGAUCGCCCACACUGGAACUGGGACGCGGUCCAGACUCCUACGGGAGGCAGCAGUAGGCAAUCUUCCGCAAUGGGCGAGAGCCUGACGCAGCGAGGCCGCGUGAGUGAUGAAGGUCUUCGGAUCGUAAAGCCCUGUUAUUAGGUAAGAACAUAUGUGUAAGUAACUGUGCACAUCGUGACGGUACCUGGUCAGAAAGCCACGGCUAACUACGUG